rnacentral:lncRNA from 1 species
CUGAGCCAUGGAUGAGAAAUAUCACUGUUGGUGAACUUGCCGAUGUAAAGCCGCCAGUAGUUACUCUUCGUGGAAUUGAAAAGGUGGGACGUAUCGUGGAGGUCCUGAAGAACACCACACAUAAUGGAUUCCCUGUCGUAGACGAAGGGGUGGUGCCACCAGUGGGGCUGUCAGUUGGGGCAACUGAAUUGCACGGUAUUGUCCUAAGAACUCACCUUCUUUUGGUUCUUAAGAAAAAGUUCUUCCUUCAUGAAAGACGGAGGACAGAGGAGUGGGAAGUGAGAGAGAAAUUCUCCUGGAUUGAUUUAGCUGAGAGGUGGGGUAAGAUUGAAGAUGUGGCAGUCACAAAGAAUGAAAUGGAGAUGUAUGUUGACUUGCAUCCCAUCACUAACACAACCCCUUACACUGUGGUAGAAAGCAUGUCAGUGGCUAAGGCUAUGGUGCUCUUCAGGCAGGUGGGGCUCCGCCACAUGCUCAUUGUACCCAAAUACCAAGCAGCAGGGGUGAGUUUAUAAGCAUAUUUCAGUUAUUAAUCUUAUGCAAAUAUUUCCCUCCUAUCAUAGUCUAAUGAUACAGAGACAAAGUCAUAUCGUAACAUCAAGAGCUUAAUAAGGAAGAGUGGAAAAAUUAUUUUACAUUUGAAGUGAUAAAAGCAUUACUAACAUCAUACCAUGCUCCUUUUACAGGUAUCUCCGGUGGUGGGAAUCUUGACCAGGCAAGACUUGAGAGCCCACAACAUUUCGGGUGUCUUCCCUCA